GUAACCGCGAGUUCCACUUGCAGUGGCUUUGCCCGGAGCCCCCGUGCACCUGCGGACCGGGGGAAAGUGCGAGUUGCAAACCUUCUGGAAGGAGGAAUCCCUCGGACAGCCGCGCACCAGGGUCCCGGGCCCGGCCCCGGGACCCUGGACUUUCACUUUGAGACUUGGUUGCAUUUACAGGAAUUCUUCGCCCAGUAAACCUCUCUUUCGAACCUAAAGGCAGACCCAGAAGAGCUUUUUACAAAACUAGAGAAAAUUGGGAAGGGCUCCUUUGGAGAGGUGUUCAAAGGCAUUGACAAUCGUACUCAGAAAGUGGUUGCCAUAAAGAUCAUUGAUCUGGAAGAAGCUGAAGAUGAGAUAGAGGACAUUCAACAAGAAAUCACAGUGCUGAGUCAGUGUGACAGUCCAUAUGUAACCAAAUAUUAUGGAUCCUAUCUGAAGUCUGUGAACAGGAGCUCUUGUGAGUCUCACCAGCGCUAGUCACAUUCCUCAAGCUUGACCAUCCCUUUGAGAACUGAUGAAACAGCUUUGAAAUUGGCAAAGCUGAAGAAUGGACUUCAAAGCAGAGAAGGUGUGAAUUGUUUUAAGUGGGAGCUUCAUGGGAAUAAAAUAUGAGGCGUGGCCCUGAAGGGACCUUGGGGCCAGCUUGCGGUAAG
rnacentral:sRNA from 1 species